rnacentral:rRNA from 1 species
CCCUUAGAUGUUCUGGGCCGCACGCGCGCUACACUGAUGCGUUCAACGAGUAUACAACCUUGAUCGAUAGGUCUGGGUAAUCUUGUGAAUGCGCAUCGUGCUAGGGAUAGAUUGUUGCAAUUUUCAAUCUUGAACGAGGAAUUCCUAGUAAACGCAAGUCAUCAGCUUGCAUUGAUUACGUCCCUGCCCUUUGUACACACCGCCCGUCGCUCCUACCGAUUGAAUGUUCCGGUGAGCUCUUCGGACUGCGCGGUCUGCAGUUUCUGCGUUCCGUGCGGAAAGUUGCGCAAACCUUAACAUUUAGAGGAAGGAGAAGUCGUAACA